GGGCCCGCACAAGCGGUGGAGCAUGUGGUUUAAUUCGAUGAUACGCGAGGAACCUUACCAGGGCUUAAAUGCAGAACGACCGGGGUGGAAACACCCCUUUCUUCGGACGGUCUGCAAGGUGCUGCAUGGUUGUCGUCAGCUCGUGCUGUGAAGUGUCGGGUUAAGUCCCAUAACGAGCGCAACCCCUAUUUCUAGUUGCCAGCGGUUCGGCCGGGGACUCUAGAGAAACUGCCAGCGUAAGCUGUGAGGAAGGUGGGGAUGACGUCAAAUCAUCACGGCCCUUACGUCCUGGGCCACACACGUGCUACAAUGGUAGUGACAAUGGGUUAAUCCCAAAAAGCUAUCUCAGUUCGGAUUGUCGUCUGCAACUCGACGGCAUGAAGUCGGAAUCGCUAGUAAUCGCG
rnacentral:rRNA from 1 species